GAUCAAAUGCUGAGCUUAGACAUGUAUUAGUCUGAUGAGUUGUUAAACCCUCUGUCUUCUAGCAUUUAUGAGUCUGAUGAUC
rnacentral:sRNA from 1 species